AUACGGAGGGUGCAAGCGUUGUUCGGAAUCAUUGGGCGUAAAGCGCGUGUAGGCGGUUUUCUAAGUCUGAUGUGAAAGUCCGGGGCUUAACCCCGGAAGUGCAUUGGAUACUGGAUGACUAGAGGGCGAGAGAGGGAAGCGGAAUUCCUGGUGUAGGGGUGAAAUCCGUAGAUAUCAGGAGGAACACCGGAAGCGAAGGCGGCUUCCUGGCUCGCAUCUGACGCUGAGACGCGAAAGCGUGGGGAGCAAACAGGAUUAGAAACCCCGGUAGUCC
rnacentral:rRNA from 1 species